CACGUAGGGGGCAAGCGUUGUCCGGAUUUAUUGGGCGUAAAGAGCUCGUAGGUGGUUCAGUAAGUCAGGUGUGAAACCUCCAGGCUCAACCUGGAGACGCCACUUGAUACUGCUGUGACUGGAGUCCGGUAGGGGAGCGUGGAAUUCCUGGUGUAGCGGUGAAAUGCGCAGAUAUCAGGAGGAACACCAAUUGCGAAGGCAGCUCGCUGGGACGUAACUGACGCUGAGACGCGAAAGCGUGGGGAGCAAACAGG
rnacentral:rRNA from 1 species